rnacentral:rRNA from 1 species
UACGUAGGGUGCAAGCGUUAAUCGGAAUUACUGGGCGUAAAGCGUGCGCAGGCGGUUUUGUAAGUCUGAUGUGAAAUCCCGGGCUCAACCUGGGAAUUGCGUUGGAGACUGCAAGGCUAGAAUCUGGCAGAGGGGGGUAGAAUUCCACGUGUAGCAGUGAAAUGCGUAGAGAUGUGGAGGAACACCGAUGGCGAAGGCAGCCCCCUGGGUCAAGAUUGACGCUCAUGCACGAAAGCGUGGGGAGCAAACAGG